CUUUCUACUGCUCCGCCAUUGUGAGGGCGUGCUUGCGUCUCCUUCGCCUUCUGCCAUAAUUUUUCAGAUUUGCAAAGGGAGACGUGACAUCAAGUUUGGAAGAAAGCUGAAUUACUGGGACUAACAGAGUGAAAAGAAUAUGGACUUUCAAGGAAUGGGGAAUAGGAAGGCCAGAAAAAUUUCCUUACUCCUUCUUCAAAGAUGAUGAAAUACAAAAUGACCCCAAAUGAAGCGGAUAGAACAAUCAGUGUUACAAGGAGUGGACACUGCAGUUUCCAGCGUUCUGUGACCUGUAAUAGUGCGACAGACUGAAUGCAGAAGCACAUAAACGAAUCCAGCUCUGUGAUUAAGCCAAGACAUUAAAGAGAUCUUCAAAAUGAAAACCAAUGCCACUUCUCUAAUAGACUUUUUUGUUUUGGAAAAUUUGUUUUUCCACGAAAGUAUUAUUUCUGUUACCAUAUAAUGGGUUAUUCUUUUUAAAUAAAUUAAUAUUUUUUAAAUGUC